GCUACGGGCUCCUUCAGAGUACAGAAGUCUAUUUUUAAUCAGUUUUGGUUAGUUUUUUUUUACGUGGUGGCUUAAGUAAUGUGGCAUGCUUCGGUCACGAAGACCUCUCGAAAAAUUUAGACGGGGGUGACCAUAAAAUUCUUCACAAACUUGUGGAAAUGGGGUGUAACAUGAUGCCUGGAUCCCAAAUCGAAAACACAAGGAAGAGCAUCGGUAAAUGGUUGCUGGUCAGAAUAAUGGAACCACAAUUUUAUAAAGAAAAUGUGUCAAGAAAUUAGCAAUUAUUUGUCUCGAUUUGUACUGCAGACUUGAGUGACAACUCAGGAGUUCAGUCUUGAGUCCUAUGGACUAUUUUUUAUGGAGUACCCGGUAUUUUAUACAAACAAAAGCCAAUUACGACAAAUGAAUGCGGCACUGAAUCCAAGAUGGAGUUAAUUUCCUUAAGGAAAGUCAGUAUUGCAAUAAUUGUGUGCGCUUACUUUACUAAGCUGAAGAAUUAACCAUAAAAAAUUGUUUUCGUUGUUAAUUACAAAUUAAUA